CUGGUUGAUCCUGCCAGUAGUCAUAUGCUUGUCUCAAAGAUUAAGCCAUGCAUGUCUAAGUAUAAGCACCCUUAUACUGCGAAACUGCGUACAGCUCGUUAUAUCAGCAAUUAUUUAUUUGAAGGUCACCUAUUACAUGGAUAACCGUGGUAAUUCUAGAGCUAAUACAUGCGAAAAGUCGGCGCAAGUCGAUGUAUUUAUUAGAUACAGAAUCAAUACGUGUUCUGCACGUUCUAUUGAUGAAUCAUAAUAACUGUUCGAAUCGCACGGGCAACCGGCGAUAGUUCAUUCAAAUUUCUGCCCUAUCAGCUUUCGACGGUAGUGUAGUGGACUACCGUGGCGUUAACGGGUAACGGAGAAUUAGGGUUCGAUUCCGGAGAGGGAGCCUGAGAAACGGCUACCACAUCCAAGGAAGGCAGCAGGCGCGCAAAUUACCCAAUCCUAAUACAGGGAGGUAGUGACAAUAAAUAACAAUGCAGAGCUCUACGAGUUUUGCAAUUGGAAUGAGUACAAUUUAAAUCCCUUAACGAGGAACAAUUGGAGGGCAAGUCUGGU
rnacentral:rRNA from 1 species